CCUCCAUUUCCCCUCUUUUCCCUUACACUUUUCUUUCAUUUUCCUGUAACGCUUUUCCCUCCAUUUUCUCUCCAUUUUCCCACCACACUGGUCCCUUCUUUCCCUCUGUUUUCCUGCCACACGCUUCCCUCCAUUUUCCCUCCUUUCCCUCACAUCUUCCCUCCUUUUUCCUGUCACACUUUCCACUCCCUUUUCCCUCACACUCUUCCCUCCAUUUCCCCUCCAUUUUCCCUCAUACAUUCCCUCUGUUUUCCUGACGUUUCCCUCACUUUUUCCUCCAUUUUCCCUCACACUUUCCCUCCAUUUUCCUGACACACUUUUUCCCUCAUUCUCCCUCUGUUUCUCUGCAACAUUUUCCCUCCUUCCCCUUCAUUUUCCCUCCUUUGCCUCACACACAUUUCCCUCCAUUUUCCUGUAACACUUUCCCUCCAUCCCCUCCAUUUCCCCUCCUUUCCCUCACAUUCUUCCCUCUAUUCUUCCUCCUUUCCCUCAUACCUUCYCUCCAUUUUYCUCUCACACUUUUCCCUCCAUUUUCCCUCACUUUUCUUCCAAUUUCCUGCCACUUUUCCCUUCUUUCCCUCUGUUUUUGUCACACGUUUCCCUCCAUUUUCCCUCCUUUCCCUCCCACCUUCCCUCCUUUUUCCCACCACACUUUUCUCUCCUUCCUCUCCAUUCCCCUGCCACACGUUUCCCUCCAUUGUCCCUACAUUUUCUCACCACACUUUUCCUUUCUUUCUCUCCAAUUUCCCUUCACACUUUCUUCCAUUUCCCCUUCAUUUUCCCUCCUUUCCCUCAUACCUUCCCUCCAUUUUCCUGUCACAGGUUUCCCUCCAUUUUCCCGUCACACUUUUCUCUCCAUUUCCUGUCACACUUUUCCCUCCAUUUUCUUGUCACACUUUUCCCUCCAUUUCCUGUCACGGGUUUCCCUCCACUUUCCUGUCACAAGUUUCCCUCCACUUUCCUGUCACAGGUUUCCCUCCACUUUCCUGUCACAAGUUUCCCUCCACUUUCCUGUCACAGGUUUCCCUCCACUUUCCUGUCACACUUUUCCCUCCAUUUCCACCACACAUUUCCCUCCAUUUUCCCUCCAAUUUUCCCUCACACUUUUCCCUCCAUUUCCUGUCACAAGUUUCCCUCCAUUUUCCUGUCACUUUUCCCUCCAUUUUCCCCCCACACAUUUCCCUCCAAUUCUCCCUCACACUUUCCCCUCACUUUUCC
rnacentral:lncRNA from 1 species